AGGAUUCCCUUAGUAGUGGCGAGCGAACAGGGAUGAGCCCAGCACUGAAGCCCACAAUUUUAAACGGUUGUCGGGCAAUGUAGUGUUUGGGAGAGCCCAAUUAACCUAAGUAUUUAUAAGCGAGUCUAAGUCCUUCUUGAAGGGGGCCAUUUACCCAUAGAGGGUGCCAGGCCCGUAAAUGACCGUUUAAAUUAUAUUUAGGUGGGUUUCUCCUUAGAGUCGGGUUGCUUGAGAAUGCAGCUCUAAGGGGGGGGUAAACUCCAUCUAAGGCUAAAUAUUACUGUGAAACCGAUAGUGAACAAGUACCGUGAGGGAAAGUUGAAAAGCACUUAGAAGUGAGAGUUCAAUAGUACGUGAAACUGUUCAUGCAUAAGCCUAUUAUAUCCAAUACUUUUAAAUGGGUAGAUUCAAUUGCUUUACCGUUUAUAAAGAUUUAAUAGGUUUGUUUUUAUUUUAUAAAAACAAAAUGAGACAUUACAUAUCAUAUAAUUCUUGUAAUUAUUAUGUAUUUUGUAAUGCUCACCUGUUUUAUUUAUAUAUAUAAUCGGAGGCAUGCACUUCUGCCUAUUUAUAAUCGUCGUGAUCCAUUGAAUUUAUAUAUAUUUGGGUGUUUUAAAGGUCACAAUGGCAGACCAUUACAAAAUUAUAUUUUUGGUCCUCUAAAUUAUAUUUUUUUUUAAAUAUAAUUUAUGUCCUUAAAUAAUAGUAUGUAAUGUGACUUGUGAUAUAAUAUGACAUCUAUUCGAUGGAAUUUAUAUGGAUGAUGAGUCGCAAAAUUUAUGCGUUUUUAAACCUAUAACAAAUAACUGUAGAAUGCAAAUGAAUGUGUAGAAAAUGGAUAUAAAUGCCGUUUCUACCAAUACGUUAUUGGUGGUUAUAGUGUUCUUAAACGGAUUUAUUCUUGAUACUCUAGAUCAUCUAAUCACGGCGUAAAUAAAGUUUUGGAUGAUUAUAGGACCCGUCUUGAAACACGGACCAAGGAGUAUAGCAUGUAUGCGAGUUAUUGAGAUAACUCGAAACUUAAAGGCAAAAUGAAAGACAUUAUUUAUAUUUUUUAUAUAUAUUUAUUUAUAUCUAUAUAUAUAGAUAUAAAUGUGGGAAGAUAGGUAAAAAUUAUAUAUUACCUCGCAUUCCCGGGGCGUUGCUAACUCAUUGCGAGUUGUGGCGCAUCAUGAGCAUAUACGCUGG
rnacentral:rRNA from 1 species